rnacentral:rRNA from 1 species
UACGUAGGGGGCAAGCGUUGUCCGGAUUCAUUGGGCGUAAAGAGCGUGUAGGCGGCCAGGUAGGUCGGUUGUGAAAACUGGAGGCUCAACCUUCAGAGGUCGACCGAAACCAUCUGGCUAGAGUCCGGGAGAGGAGAGUGGAAUUCCUGGUGUAGCAGUGAAAUGCGUAGAUAUCAGGAGGAAUACCGAUGGCGAAGGCAGGUCUCUGGGCUGACACUGACGCUCAUGCACGAAAGCGUGGGGAGCAAACAGG